AUUGAACGCUGGCGGCAUGCCUUACACAUGCAAGUCGAACGGCAGCACGGGUGCUUGCACCUGGUGGCGAGUGGCGAACGGGUGAGUAAUACAUCGGAACGUACCUUAUCGUGGGGGAUAACGCAGCGAAAGUUGCGCUAAUACCGCAUACGCCCUGAGGGGGAAAGCGGGGGACCGUAAGGCCUCGCGCGAUUAGAGCGGCCGAUGUCUGAUUAGCUUGUUGGUGAGGUAAAAGCUCACCAAGGCGAUGAUCAGUAGCUGGUCUGAGAGGACGAUCAGCCACACUGGGAAUGAGACACGGCCCAGACUCCAACGGGAGGCAGCAGUGGGGAAUUUUGGACAAUGGGGGCAACCCUGAUCCAGCAAUGCCGCGUGAGUGAAGAAGGCCUUCGGGUUGUAAAGCUCUUUUGUCAGGGAAGAAACAGCAGCUCUAACACAGUCUGCGAAUGACGGUACCUGAAGAAUAAGCACCGGCUAACUACGUGCCAGCCGCCGCGGUAA
rnacentral:rRNA from 1 species